ensembl:processed_transcript 2310009A05Rik RIKEN cDNA 2310009A05 gene
GGAUGAGUCUCUGGGUGGGUCAGGAGCAAACCUCCCUGACCAGUGUUCAAUGCUGGAAAAGACAAAAAUAAAGAUUCUGGAUUCUUUACUCCGCCUGACACACCUCGCACAGCGCCCGCCGAGGAGGCGCUCGGAGGUAACAGAGCAGAGGGAGGCAGUGCAUCGCUGAGGACCAGCUCCCGGGUGACCGCGGUGCUCAUCCCUCACGCCACGUCCUCGCGUGGGAAGUUUCAUCACGGUUCUUACAAUAAUAGGAAAAAGUUAUAACUCAAUGAGUUUUUAUUAUCAAUUUUUUACCACCCCAAUGGAUUUCUCUAUCCCUAAUUAUCUAUUUUCUAAUCAACUUUUUAUUUUCUGGAGUCGAUCUCACUAUGUAGAUCAGACUGGCCUUGAACUCGGGAGAAUUACCGUCUCUGCCUCAUGAGUGCUGGGAUUUAAUGCCGAAGCCACCACACUCUGUCUCCUCUUAUCUUUGUGACAGGGCCACACUCUUAUAUAACCGUGGCUGGCCUGGAACUUGCUGUGUAGACCAGACUGGCCUCAAACUCCUGCCUCUGUCUUAUGGAUGUUGGGAUCAAAAGCAUGGGCCAUCAUGACCAGCAAUCAAGGCAUUUAAAAAAAUUAGUUGGUGGGGGCUGGAGAACUGGUUCAGGGCUUAAAAACACUGACUGCACUUGCAGAAUACCCAUAUACUAGCCCGGUGUCUCCGAGGGUACCAGGCAUGCGUGCUAUUGCAGAUACAUACAUGAAGACGAACACCCAUACACAUAAAUUGUCUUUUGUGUGGUCAACUGUAUAAUCCAGGAGAAGACAUGCUUUUCUUUCCUCGGCGAGCUUAAAUUAUGCCUGAGAACUAUUUAGGGCAAGCUCCUUACAGUACAGGAAGGAGUUGCUGAUUAUUUUUGUGACCUGAGGCUUGGAUUAAGGAUCCAUAUCGGAGUCCAGAAAGUGUGUGGCUCCUUCCCUGUGCUCUCUUCAUUCACAGCCUCUGACCCAGAUGCUGAGGGGGUUGACACGGAAAGUGCUGUGUUGUUCAUUUGUCACUUUCUACUGUUUUCAGUUGUUGGAUCGAGAAGCAAAAUCUUCUACACCCCCACCCCACCCCCAUUUUUUUCAAAGAAGGCAUGCAAAUGAUUUGCGUUUGAUUUCUCCUAAAAUAUCAAAAGAACUCAACAUAAUUUGCUUUUGCUUUUUUUGAGAUAGGCUCUUACUAUGUAGCCUUGGCUGGCUUGGAACUCGCUCUUUAGACCAGACAGGCCUCAGACUCACAUAGUCUCUGCCCACACCUGGUGCUGGGAUUAAAAUCCUGCGUCACCACACCUGGCUCAGUGACGUUUUUACAGCCUCUUAAAAAUCGCUUUUGUCAUACAGCUUGCUUAAAAGAGUUACAGCUACUGCAGAAGGCAUAGUGAGGUCACUUGUCCCCUCUCUCUAUCAUCCUUUAGAGGAAGCUUAAACAGAGACACUCACUUCUGAGUCCUUUCGGGCACCUCUUGGAGAAAAAGUAUUGAACGACUUGAAAGCCGUCAGCCAUCCCUCCCCCUCCUUUUGCCAUUUUGAAAAUUACCAGUUUAAACGCUCUGAGAAGACUUCCAGCAGCCAUGUUAGUGGCGCACGCCUGUCAUCCUAACACUGGGGUGGUGAAGGCAGAAUUGUAAUCUAGAGCAGCCUGCCUAUCAUAAAGAACCAGAACCAACACUCAAAUGCAAAAUAACUCACAGGCAAAUACACACAAAAUAACUCACAGGCAAAUACACACAAAAUAACUCCCUGGGAACAUCCCGUGAUAGAAGAGGAUGCAUCUCUGUCUCACACCACCCUCAAACUUGCAUUCCCUAUAGGUUCCUUUUUAAGGUUUUUAUUGACUUGUUCUCUGAGAACCUGUUAUGGAAUCCAGAGUGGCCGCCAACUGGCAGUGCAGCCAGAGGGAAACCUUGAGUUCCUGAUCCUCUUGCCUGGACCCAAGUGUUGGGAAUAUGAGCAUGUGCUACGAUGCCUAGAAGAAAUAACAAUUUUAAUAUAAAAUAUGAUUUUUAACUACUGACAACCUAAUUGAGAUUUUAGAAAAUAUCCCAUAGUAAGCCUAUGUGCUGUCAUGCUACCCUUAUGUAUUUAUUAGUUAGUGAUUCUUGGUUUUUUUAAAGAUUUAUUUUAUGUACAUGGGUACACUGUAGCUGUACAGAUGGUUGUGAGCCUUCAUGUGGUUGUUGGGAAUUGAAUUUUUUUAGGACCUCUGCUUGCUCAGUCCCAAAGAUUUAUUUAUUAUACAUAAGUACACCGUAGUUGACUUCAGACUCACCAGAAGAGGGCGUCAGAUCCCAUGACGGAUGGUUGUGAGCCACCAUGUGGUUGCUGGGAAUUGAACUCAGGACCUCUGGAAGAGCAGUCAGUGCUCUUAACCGCUGAGCCAUCUCUCCAGCCCUAGUUAGUGAUUUUUAAAUAUUACAAAACAUUCAUGCCAGAGGAAAGUAGUAACAAGUCUUCUAAAGGGCAGAUGGGGCUGGAGUGAAGAGUGAGCUGCUGUUCCGGAGGACCUGAGUUCAGUUCCCAGCACCUGCAUUAGAUGACAGCUGCCUGUAACUUUCUGGCCUCCAGACUCCUGCACUCAGUCGCACACAUAGCACAAAAUAAAAUUGUUUCUAAAAG